rnacentral:ribozyme from 13 species
AAGUUUCAAAAAAGAACGGAGACUCAGAAUAAAAAGAGACCUCCUCUCGAAUCAUUUGCUCCUUUUCUUAUUUCUCCUCUCCCUUAUUUUCCUCUUUUUUCUCUUCCUUCUUUU